CAGCAGCCACGGGAAUACGAAGGGUGCAAGCGUUACUCGGAAUUACUGGGCGUAAAGCGUGCGUAGGUGGUGGUUUAAGUCCGUUGUGAAAGCCCCCGGCUCAACCGGGGAGGGUCAUUGGAAACUGGGAAACUUGAGUGCAGAAGAGGAGAGUGGAAUUCCACGUGUAGCGGUGAAAUGCGUAGAGAUGUGGAGGAACACCAGUGGCGAAGGCGACUCUCUGGUCUGUAACUGACGCUGAGGAGCGAAAGCAUGGGGAGCGAACAGGAUUAGAUACCCCUGUAGUCCCUGUCUCUUAUAC
rnacentral:rRNA from 1 species